CCUACGGGAGGCAGCAGUAGGGAAUAUUGCUCAAUGGGGGAAACCCUGAAGCAGCAACGCCGCGUGGAGGAUGAAGGUUUUCGGAUUGUAAACUCCUUUUUUUAGAGAAGAUAAUGACGGUAUCUAACGAAUAAGCACCGUCUAACUCCGUGCCAGCAGCCGCGGUAAUACGGAGGGUGCAAGCGUUACUCGGAAUCACUGGGCGUAAAGAGGGCGUAGGCGGGAUAUCAAGUCAGAUGUGAAAUCCUAUGGCUUAACCAUAGAACUGCAUUUGAAACUGGUAUUCUAGAGUAUGGGAGAGGUAGGUGGAAUUCUUGGUGUAGGGGUAAAAUCCGUAGAGAUCAAGAGGAAUACUCAUUGCGAAGGCGACCUGCUAGAACAUAACUGACGCUGAUGCGCGAAAGCGUGGGGAGCAAACAGGAUUAGAUACCCCAGUAGUC
rnacentral:rRNA from 1 species